rnacentral:rRNA from 1 species
GAUGAACGCUGGCGGCGUGCCUAAUACAUGCAAGUCGAGCGAACAGACGAGGAGCUUGCUCCUCUGACGUUAGCGGCGGACGGGUGAGUAACACGUGGAUAACCUACCUAUAAGACUGGGAUAACUUCGGGAAACCGGAGCUAAUACCGGAUAAUAUAUUGAACCGCAUGGUUCAAUAGUGAAAGACGGUUUUGCUGUCACUUAUAGAUGGAUCCGCGCCGCAUUAGCUAGUUGGUAAGGUAACGGCUUACCAAGGCGACGAUGCGUAGCCGACCUGAGAGGGUGAUCGGCCACACUGGAACUGAGACACGGUCCAGACUCCUACGGGAGGCAGCAGUAGGGAAUCUUCCGCAAAGGGCGAAAGCCUGACGGAGCAACGCCGCGUGAGUGAUGAAGGUCUUCGGAUCGUAAAACCCUGUUAUUAGGGAAGAACAAAUGUGUAAGUAACUAUGCACGUCUUGACGGUACCUAAUCAGAAAGCCACGGCUAACUACGUG